UGUGCCAGCAGCCGCGGUAAUACGGAGGGUGCAAGCGUUAAUCGGAAUUACUGGGCGUAAAGCGCACGCAGGCGGUUUGUUAAGUCAGAUGUGAAAUCCCCGGGCUCAACCUGGGAACUGCAUCUGAUACUGGCAAGCUUGAGUCUCGUAGAGGGGGGUAGAAUUCCAGGUGUAGCGGUGAAAUGCGUAGAGAUCUGGAGGAAUACCGGUGGCGAAGGCGGCCCCCUGGACGAAGACUGACGCUCAGGUGCGAAAGCGUGGGGAGCAAACAGGAUUAGAUAC
rnacentral:rRNA from 1 species